UUUGAUGCUGCCAGCCCAAACAGAAACACUACCUGGAUGAGCUGCAGCAGGAACAUCUUGAAGGAUUUGGGGAGGAGAAGAGGCAAAGCAAAUGAACAAGUGAGGAAAUAUCAUAAGGGAGAAGAUUUCAGAAGUCAAAAGAAAGACAGGUUACAAGAAACUGGCUCAAGCAGGAGGCAACUGUGACCACC